GGAUAUUUACGGGUGGCCAAUGCUACUCGAACACGGAGACGUUCCUUGACCAACUUUUAGUGCUUUUAAUUGUGGCUAAUGAAAACGAGGAAGUGUUGAUAUUGUUUUACGUUGGUAUCUUUUCGCUGGGUUCCUUGUAACCUUGACAUGUGUUAACUUGACAUGAGGCGGUGUCUAGUGUAUACUUUUGUCGGUAUCCGAAAUGGUCCCAUAUAUCUUAAAGAAACCACACGAAACGGUC